rnacentral:lncRNA from 1 species
UCAAUACUUAUUUUUUAUCUUCAGAGUUUCUUUUUGAUCGGAUGGGAGGUGAAACCUCCCAAGAUUUUAUUCAGAAAACAGAGGUUACAAGCAGGAUUAAGAGGACCGGUUGACCUAGGUCAACCAACAAGAGAAAAGUGGGGCAUUCUUGGAGAAGAAUUGCUAGUGUUUACAGGAUCUGAAUUUAAACAAGUUUUUGAAUGAUUUUUUGGAUGCUUUGCUUAGAGCUAUCCUCUGCGUGACAGCCAUCCGUCUCUGGAGUGUGUGGUAGAUUCUUUGAAGAAGGGCGGUUGCUGAUAGAGCUUCGAAUUGAAAGAGCCGUCUAUUCCGUUCUUUCCAAAUCAGCCAGCAGGUGGUAGAAGCGAUGACAUCCCAGGCUUUCUUAGAGAUUCUCAAAGGCGCGCAGGUGUUCACGCCAGCUAUCCCAAAGUUCUUCAACCGAAGAAGGCAUGGACGGUAUCCGUAGUUUGGUACCGAUUUUCUGCCAAAUAAAAGAAUUAUAUGAACAGGUUAUAAAUAGAUGGGAUGUAGAUGCUCAUUGGGCAGUCGUGAUUGAGAUGCACAUUCCGCCGCAUUAAAUUUUCUGCUGUUAGAAUUUUGUUGUGGAACAGCAACCA